rnacentral:lncRNA from 1 species
UCUCUCAUACUCCACAUAAGAAAAUGGGAGAUCAUGUUGAAUAAUAGAUUUAGCUACCAUUUCCCUGACACUAUGUUGAUCUAUCUUCCUAUCUUGAAGUCUUGCUUCUUAAUUGAGCAUCAUAGUACCAAUAUCACCAUUCCUAAGAUUAAGAUUACAAGUUAGCAAAUGGCGUCUAUAUGUGUUUGUAACGUUUUUGGUGCGUUGAACGCAAAAUCUCCCUUGCAAUACUUGCACUGAGCUCUUUCUUCACUCACC